rnacentral:rRNA from 1 species
GACGAACGCUGGCGGCGUGCUUAACACAUGCAAGUCGAACGGAAAGGCCCUGCUUUUGUGGGGUGCUCGAGUGGCGAACGGGUGAGUAACACGUGAGUAACCUGCCCUUGACUUUGGGAUAACUUCAGGAAACUGGGGCUAAUACCGGAUAGGAGCUCCUGCUGCAUGGUGGGGGUUGGAAAGUUUCGGCGGUUGGGGAUGGACUCGCGGCUUAUGAGCUUGUUGGUGGGGUAGUGGCUUACCAAGGCUUUGACGGGUAGCCGGCCUGAGAGGGUGACCGGCGACAAUGGGACUGAGAUACGGAGCAGACUCCUACGGGAGGCAGCAGUGGGGAGUAUUGCACAAUGGGCGGAAGCCUGAUGCAGCAACGCCGCGUGCGGGAUGACGGCCUUCGGGUUGUAAACCGCUUUCGCCUGUGACGAAGCGUGUGUGACGGUAAUGGGUAAAGAAGCACCGGCUAACUACGUG